rnacentral:rRNA from 1 species
GAAUGAACCGGCGAGUUACGAUUUGAUGCAAGGUUAAGCAGUAAAUGUGGAGCCGUAGCGAAAGCGAGUCUGAAUAGGGCGUUUAGUAUUUGGUCGUAGACCCGAAACCAGGUGAUCUACCCUUGGUCAGGUUGAAGUUCAGGUAACACUGAAUGGAGGACCGAACCGACUUACGUUGAAAAGUGAGCGGAUGAACUGAGGGUAGCGGAGAAAUUCCAAUCGAACCUGGAGAUAGCUGGUUCUCUCCGAAAUAGCUUUAGGGCUAGCCUCAAGUGAUGAUUAUUGGAGGUAGAGCACUGUUUGGACGAGGGGCCCCUCUCGGGUUACCGAAUUCAGACAAACUCCGAAUGCCAAUUAAUUUAACUUGGGAGUCAGAACAUGGGUGAUAAGGUCCGUGUUCGAAAGGGAAACAGCCCAGACCACCAGCUAAGGUCCCAAAAUAUAUGUUAAGUGGAAAAGGAUGUGGCGUUGCCCAGACAACUAGGAUGUUGGCUUAGAAGCAGCCAUCAUUUAAAGAGUGCGUAAUAGCUCACUAGUCGAGUGACACUGCGCCGAAAAUGUACCGGGGCUAAACAUAUUACCGAAGCUGUGGAUUGUCCUUUGGACAAUGGUAGGAGAGCGUUCUAAGGGCGUUGAAGCAUGAUCGUAAGGACAUGUGGAGCGCUUAGAAGUGAGAAUGCCGGUGUGAGUAGCGAAAGACGGGUGAGAAUCCCGUCCACCGAUUGACUAAGGUUUCCAGAGGAAGGCUCGUCCGCUCUGGGUUAGUCGGGUCCUAAGCUGAGGCCGACAGGCGUAGGCGAUGGAUAACAGGUUGAUAUUCCUGUACCACCUAUAAUCGUUUUAAUCGAUGGGGGGACGCAGUAGGAUAGGCGAAGCGUGCGAUUGGAUUGCACGUCUAAGCAGUAAGGCUGAGUAUUAGGCAAAUCCGGUACUCGUUAAGGCUGAGCUGUGAUGGGGAGAAGACAUUGUGUCUUCGAGUCGUUGAUUUCACACUGCCGAGAAAAGCCUCUAGAUAGAAAAUAGGUGCCCGUACCGCAAACCGACACAGGUAGUCAAGAUGAGAAUUCUAAGGUGAGCGAGCGAACUCUCGUUAAGGAACUCGGCAAAAUGACCCCGUAACUUCGGGAGAAGGGGUGCUCUUUAGGGUUAACGCCCAGAAGAGCCGCAGUGAAUAGGCCCAAGCGACUGUUUAUCAAAAACACAGGUCUCUGCUAAACCGUAAGGUGAUGUAUAGGGGCUGACGCCUGCCCGGUGCUGGAAGGUUAAGAGGAGUGGUUAGCUUCUGCGAAGCUACGAAUCGAAGCCCCAGUAAACGGCGGCCGUAACUAUAACGGUCCUAAGGUAGCGAAAUUCCUUGUCGGGUAAGUUCCGACCCGCACGAAAGGCGUAACGAUUUGGGCACUGUCUCAACGAGAGACUCGGUGAAAUCAUAGUACCUGUGAAGAUGCAGGUUACCCGCGACAGGACGGAAAGACCCCGUGGAGCUUUACUGUAGCCUGAUAUUGAAAUUCGGCACAGCUUGUACAGGAUAGGUAGGAGCCUUUGAAACGUGAGCGCUAGCUUACGUGGAGGCGCUGGUGGGAUACUACCCUAGCUGUGUUGGCUUUCUAACCCGCACCACUUAUCGUGGUGGGAGACAGUGUCAGGCGGGCAGUUUGACUGGGGCGGUCGCCUCCUAAAAGGUAACGGAGGCGCUCAAAGGUUCCCUCAGAAUGGUUGGAAAUCAUUCAUAGAGUGUAAAGGCAUAAGGGAGCUUGACUGCGAGACCUACAAGUCGAGCAGGGUCGAAAGACGGACUUAGUGAUCCGGUGGUUCCGCAUGGAAGGGCCAUCGCUCAACGGAUAAAAGCUACCCCGGGGAUAACAGGCUUAUCUCCCCCAAGAGUUCACAUCGACGGGGAGGUUUGGCACCUCGAUGUCGGCUCAUCGCAUCCUGGGGCUGUAGUCGGUCCCAAGGGUUGGGCUGUUCGCCCAUUAAAGCGGUACGCGAGCUGGGUUCAGAACGUCGUGAGACAGUUCGGUCCCUAUCCGUCGUGGGCGUAGGAAAUUUGAGAGGAGCUGUCCUUAGUACGAGAGGACCGGGAUGGACAUACCUCUGGUGUACCAGUUGUCGUGCCAACGGCAUAGCUGGGUAGCUAUGUGUGGACGGGAUAAGUGCUGAAAGCAUCUAAGCAUGAAGCCCCCCUCAAGAUGAGAUUUCCCAACUUCGGUUAUAAGAUCCCUCAAAGAUGAUGAGGUUAAUAGGUUCGAGGUGGAAGCAUGGUGACAUGUGGAGCUGACGAAUACUAAUCGAUCGAAGACUUAAUCAA